UACGUAGGGGGCAAGCGUUGUCCGGAUUUAUUGGGCGUAAAGAGCGUGUAGGCGGCCAGACAGGUCUGCUGUGAAAACUCGAGGCUCAACCUUGAGCUGUCGGCGGAAACUGUCUGGCUAGAGUCCGGAAGAGGAGAGUGGAAUUCCUGGUGUAGCGGUGAAAUGCGCAGAUAUCAGGAAGAACACCAACGGCGAAGGCAGCUCGCUGGGACGGUACUGACGCUGAGACGCGAAAGCGUGGGGAGCGAACAGG
rnacentral:rRNA from 1 species